GAUGAACGCUGGCGGCGUGCCUAAUACAUGCAAGUCGAGCGAACGGACGAGAAGCUUGCUUCUCUGAUGUUAGCGGCGGACGGGUGAGUAACACGUGGAUAACCUCCCUAUAAGACUGGGAUAACUUCGGGAAACCGGAGCUAAUACCGGAUGAUAUUUUGAACCGCAUGGUUCAAAAGUGUAAGACGGUCUUGCUGUCACUUAUAGAUGGAUCCGCGCUGCAUUAGCUAGUUGGUAAGGUAACGGCUUACCAAGGCGACGAUGCAUAGCCGACCUGAGAGGAUGAUCGGCCACACUGGAACUGAGACGCGGUCCAGACGCCUACGGGAGGCAGCAGUAGGGAAUCUUCCGCAAUGGGCGAAGGCCUGACGGAGCAACGCCGCGUGAGUGAUGAAGGUCUUCGGAUCGUAAAACUCUGUUAUUAGGGAAGAACAUAUGUGUAAGUAACUGUGCACAUCUUGACGGUACCUAGUCAGAAAGCCACGGCUAACUACGUG
rnacentral:rRNA from 1 species